AUACGGAAGGUCCGGGCGUUAUCCGGAUUUAUUGGGUUUAAAGGGAGCGCAGGCGGAGAUGCAAGCGUGACGUCAAAUUUCGGGGCUCAACCCCGUCUCACGUCGCGAACUGCGUCCCUUGGUUGCGGGAAGGGGAGGCGGAACUCGUGGUGUAGCGGUGAAAUGCAUAGAUAUCACGAAGAACUCCGAUCGCGAAGGCAGCCUUCCGGCCCGUCAACGACGCUCAUGCUCGAAGGUGCGGGUAUCAAACAGGAUUAGAUACCCUGGUAGUCCGCACAGUAAACGAUGGACACCCGCGGUUUGGCCUGUAUGGCUGAGCCGCCAAGCGAAAGCGUUAAGUGUCCCACCUGGGGAGUACGCCGGCAACGGUGAAACUCAAAGGAAUUGGCGGGG
rnacentral:rRNA from 1 species